UACGAAGGGGGCUAGCGUUGCUCGGAAUCACUGGGCGUAAAGCGCACGUAGGCGGAUUGUUAAGUCAGGGGUGAAAUCCUGGAGCUCAACUCCAGAACUGCCUUUGAUACUGACCGGUCUUGAGUUCGGGAGAGGUGAGUGGAACUGCGAGUGUAGAGGUGAAAUUCGUAGAUAUUCGCAAGAACACCAGUGGCGAAGGCAGCUCGCUGGGACGGUACUGACGCUGAGACGCGAAAGCGUGGGGAGCAAACAGG
rnacentral:rRNA from 1 species